GUGACUUAGUGGCGGACGGGUGAGUAACGCGUGGGUAACCUGCCUCACACAGGGGGAUAACAGUUGGAAACGACCGCUAAUACCGCAUAACCCGCUAGGGCCGCAUGGCCCGGACGGAAAAGAUUUAUCGGUGUGAGAUGGACCCGCGUUGGAUUAGCUAGUUGGCAGGGUAACGGCCUACCAAGGCGACGAUCCAUAGCCGGCCUGAGAGGGUGAACGGCCACAUUGGGACUGAGACACGGCCCAA
rnacentral:rRNA from 1 species